AACGCUAUGGAGUAGUAGGCAACUCACAGGGCUCAUAAUCCUGGGUGGUACGUUCAAAUCGUGCUGGCGUUA
rnacentral:tRNA from 1 species